rnacentral:tRNA from 1 species
AUUUAUAUAGUUUAGAAAAACAUUACAUUUUCACUGUAAAGACAAAGAAGAUCUUUUAUAAAUA